rnacentral:misc_RNA from 1 species
UUUUCUCUGCUCAAAGCUCCUGGGA